CAGCCAUAUCAUGUUGAAACACCACUUCUCAUACAAUCAUUGAAGUUAAUCCAUGUUGGACCUGGUUAGUACCUAGACGGGUGACUGCUUGGGAAUACCAAAUGCUGCU